GAUGAACGCUGGCGGCGUGCCUAACACAUGCAAGUCGAGCGAUUUACUUCGGUAAAGAGCGGCGGACGGGUGAGUAACGUGUGGGUAACCUGCCCUGUACACACGGAUAACAUACCGAAAGGUAUGCUAAUACGAGAUAAUAUGCUUUUAUCGCAUGGUAGAAGUAUCAAAGCUUUUGCGGUACAGGAUGGACCCGCGUCUGAUUAGCUAGUUGGUGAGGUAACGGCUCACCAAGGCGACGAUCAGUAGCCGACCUGAGAGGGUGAUCGGCCACAUUGGAACUGAGACACGGUCCAAACUCCUACGGGAGGCAGCAGUGGGGAAUAUUGCACAAUGGGCGAAAGCCUGAUGCAGCAACGCCGCGUGAGCGAUGAAGGCCUUCGGGUCGUAAAGCUCUGUCCUCAAGGAAGAUAAUGACGGUACUUGAGGAGGAAGCCCCGGCUAACUACGUG
rnacentral:rRNA from 1 species